UCUCGAUAGCGUAAACGUUAACUUAAAUUUGUAUAGAGUUGGAACUUUUGCCUACGUUUGUCACUAGGGGCGCUGUUCAACCUGCAUACAAAUUCGAAUUAACUUUUACGCUAUCGA
rnacentral:pre_miRNA from 9 species